AAAAAAUAUAAGUCAAUGCGGAAACUGGCUAAAAAAAAAAGCAGUGUCAUAUCCAACAUGGAGAAAGUUCAAUCACCUGUACAGAAAGGCUGUAUGGCAUUAGGAAGGCAGUAUCUUUAUAAUAUAAUAGUCUCUCUCUAUCUGGGCCGUCCAGGAUUAAAAAUCACUGGAAGAUGAAGGUUACUUCAUGUCUGCAGCAUGUGUUCCGAAGCACUCAUAUGGAAGCUUUCUGUAGAAGAAGGUAAUCUCUUCUUUUUCAGCAGGUCUAGGUUCAUAUUGGUGGGUUUUUUCUCUGGCACUGGAACCAGUAAAGGAGUGUAAAAUUGAGAGGAUCACCUUGUUUUUCCCACAAAUCUAAGAAAACUCAGAACAGAAGAUUGAGGAUAGUGGUUAACAACUUAAUGAAACUGCAAACACUAAAACUAACUUGAAAAAAAUAACAGCAUUCACAGUGUAAGCAGUGUGUAGGUGGCACGGUCACAGUGUAAGCAGCGUAUAGGCGAUACGGUAACAGUAUAAGGCAAUGUUUAUGUGAUACGGUCACAGUAUAAGCAGCGUGUAGGUGGCACGGUCACAGUGUAAGCAGCGUAUAGGCGAUACGGUCACAGUAUAAGGCAAUGUUUAUGUGAUACGGUCACAGUAUAAGCAGUGUGUAGGUGGCACGGUCACAGUAUAAGGCAAUGUUUAUGUGAUACGGUCACAGUAUAAGCAGUGUGUAGGCGGCACGGUCACAGUGUAAGCAAUGUUUAUGUGAUACGGUCACAGUAUAAGCAGUGUUUAGGAGAUACGGUCACAGUAAAAGGCAAUGUUUAUGUGAUACGGUCACAGUAUAAGCAAUGUUUAGGAGAUACGGUCACAGUGUAAGCAUUGAGUAGACGGCACGGUCACAGUGUAAGCAGCAUAUAGGCGAUACGGUCACAGUAUAAGGCAAUGUUUAUGUGAUACGGUCACAGUAUAAGCAGUGUGUAGGUGGCACGGUCACAGUAUAAGGCAAUGUUUAUGUGAUAUGGUCACAGUAUAAGCAGUGUGUAGGCGGCACGGUCACAGUGUAAGCAAUGUUUAUGUGAUACGGUCACAGUAUAAGCAGUGUUUAGGAGAUACGGUCACAGUAAAAGGCAAUGUUUAUGUGAUACGGUCACAGUAUAAGCAAUGUUUAGGAGAUACGGUCACAGUGUAAGCAUUGAGUAGACAGCACGGUCAUAGUGUAAGCAGUGUGUAGGCGGCACGGUCACAGUGUAAGCAGUGUGUAGGCGGCACGGUCACAGUGUAAGCUGUGUGUAGGCAGCACGGUCACAGUAUAAGCAGCGUAUAGGCAAUACGGUCACAGUAUAAGCAGUGUUUAGGAGAUACGGUCACAGUGUAAGCAGUGUGUAGGUGGCACAGUCACAGUGUAAGCAGUGUGUAGGCGGCACGGUCACAGUGUAAGCAGUGUAUAGGCGAUACGGUCACAGUAUAAGGCAAUGUUUAUGUGAUACGGUCACAGUAUAAGCAGUGUUUAUGAGAUACGGUCACAGUGUGAGCAGUGUUUAGGUGACACAGGCGUUUAAUUCUUCAUAGUCACGGUAUUUAUGGUUACCUCAUAAGUAUUACAGUCACUCACAUUGGUUGAAUUGGCACAUGG
rnacentral:lncRNA from 1 species